rnacentral:pre_miRNA from 1 species
AGUGGGAGGUGUUGAUCUUGCAUGCGGUCGCAUUGCCAGAUCUAUUACUUCCUUCUGA